rnacentral:sRNA from 1 species
AGAUGUGAGGGCGACUUGGCUGUGAUAUGUUACCCUACAGAUCGCCAGGGUUGAUUUGCUGAUCUGGCUGUCUAGGCAGGCGUCCCUGUCCUCAUCACCCCAUGUGCAUCCCUCCCAAAGCUGCAUACUUGGUCAAAGAGGACAUCCACUCUGAUAGAGGCAGACCGUUCCUAGGUCAAGGUUAUCUAGGUCAAGGCUCUUAUC